ensembl:lncRNA
UUGCUGGGAUAAUUCAUAAUGCAUUGAGCUGUCCAGGCCCAGCUGCAAAACAGACCCCAACCAUGAUCCUCCCAUCCCCUUGUUUCACAGAUGGAAUAAAGUUCUUAUGCUUGUGUCACAGAUGGAAUAAGGUUCUUAUGCUUGUGUCACAGAUGGAAUAAGGUUCUUAUGCUUGUUUCACAGAUGGUAUAAGGUUCUUAUGCUGGUUUAUCAGAUGGUAUAAGGUUCUUAUGAUUGUUUCACAGAUGGUAUAAGGUUCUUAUGCUUGUUUCACAGAUGGAAUAAGGUUCUUAUGCUUGUUUCACAGAUGGUAUAAGGUUCUUAUGCUUGUUUCACAGGUGGAAUAAGGUUCUUAUGCUUGUUUCACAGAUGGUAUAAGGUUCUUAUGCUUGUUUAUCAGAUGGUAUAAGGUUCUUAUGAUUGUUUCACAGAUGGAAUAAGGUUCUUAUGCUUGUUUCACAGAUGGUAUAAGGUUCUUAUGCUUGUUUAUCAGAUGGUAUAAGGUUCUUAUGCUUGUUUCACAGAUGGUAUAAGGUUCUUAUGCUGGAAUGCAGUGUUUCCUUCCUCUGAACAUAAGACAUAAAUAAAAUAGGAUGCCCACUUAAACCUGAUUGACAUCCUAUUGAUUGAAAACACCUAUAAUUUGACCUCCAAAUGAACUGCUUAUCCUAGAGGUGUACAUACUUUUGCCACUCACAGAUACGUAAAUAUUGGACCAUUUGCCUCAAUAGAUAAAAGACCAAGUGUAAUAUUUCUGUCUCAUUAUUACAGUCAUGAUGGCCUGGGGACAGAUAUGUGUGAAAUUAGCAUUUGCUUUGUAAUCACAUUCCAACGAUACUUUACUCAAGCUGGCCAAUGAGACGAUGCCAUACUGUGAUUGUUGUUAACAUCUAAAUCACAAUGCUGAAGUUCCCUUUGGUAACCACAAAGCAGAACCACCUGCAAGUCUUUCAUUCUCUUCCUCUUUCUCUUUCAUUACUAUAUGCUUCGUUCAGGAGCUAGCUGUAUUGAAAUUAUUACUUGAGAUUAUUACUAAAACAGUCAAAGCUUUUACUUGGGUUCAUAUAUAAUUACAUUUGUUUUACAUUUGUUUGUUAAAUCAUUUGCUGCCCCUAAACAAUCUCACAACAAAUAGACAGCACAUUAAAUCACUGGAUUAUCCCCAAAGGAAGGGCUUGGGCAUUUGACACCAGUUAUUUUCACAAAAACUUCAGUAAGAACUCUUAUGAUGAAACGUAUUAGUUUAUUCUGCUGGAAAAGCAUUUUGGUACGAAGAUUAGAAAUGUUUUAAUCACAUAUUUUAAACAGAUAUUAUUUGCUUUAGAACAAACCUCAAAAACAUUAAACAGCUAACUUCUUUGUUAACCCCUCUAAAUAAUCUACUCUUGAGCUAAACUUUGGCCCUGACUGUUCAACAGGGAAGCAGAUACUCGUGUGAUAAGAGUUGUAAUGACUCAUAAACAGACAAAUUGAGUCGUUUCAGGAGGCUUAGGCCAAAGAUACCAUUAAGAUUUUCACAUUCUCCAUUUUAGUGUGUGCUGAUUCACAAGCGAGAAGACGAAUAAGAGGAUGGCUGUAAAGUACAGUGCCAUCUCCACUACCCUGUGGCCAUACAGUUCAGACAUUAAAGGUAGGUCCUCAUCUCCACUACCCUGAACACCCUGUGGCCAUACAGUUCAGACAUUAAAGGUAGGUCCUCAUCU